AUUUAACUGACGAGUUCCAAACAGAAUGAAAUGCGAUUCUUUGAU
rnacentral:hammerhead_ribozyme from 1 species